UGAGGAAUAUUGGUCAAUGGGCGAGAGCCUGAACCAGCCAAGUAGCGUGCAGGAUGACGGCCCUAUGGGUUGUAAACUGCUUUUAUAAGGGAAUAAAGUGAGUCUCGUGAGACUUUUUGCAUGUACCUUAUGAAUAAGGACCGGCUAAUUCCGUGCCAGCAGCCGCGGUAAUACGGAAGGUCCGGGCGUUAUCCGGAUUUAUUGGGUUUAAAGGGAGCGUAGGCCGGAGAUUAAGCGUGUUGUGAAAUGUAGACGCUCAACGUCUGCACUGCAGCGCGAACUGGUUUCCUUGAGUACGCACAAAGUGGGCGGAAUUCGUGGUGUAGCGGUGAAAUGCUCAGAUAUCACGAAGAACUCCGAUUGCGAAGGCAGCUCACUGGAGCGCAACUGACGCUGAAGCUCGAAAGUGCGGGUAUCGAACAGG
rnacentral:rRNA from 1 species